CCGCACACCCGCAAUCUUCUGCCGAUCUCGCGCAAUCGAGGCUGCACAAACUGCGACGCGAUGCGGAAAAGGCCAGAAGCCUCCUCUGCAAGAGCAACA
rnacentral:sRNA from 14 species